rnacentral:ncRNA from 7 species
UCCUGUACUGAGCUGCCCCGAGAU